AAUGAACGCUGGCGGCAGGCUUAACACAUGCAAGUCGAGCGAGAACGGCACUUCGGUGCUUAUUAGAGCGGCAAACGGGUGAGUAACACGUGGGAAUGUACCUUUCGGUCUGGGAUAGCCCUGGGAAACUGGGAUUAAUACCGGAUACGUACUACGGUAGAAAGAUUUAUCGCCGAAAGAUCAGCCCGCGUUAGAUUAGCUUGUUGGUGAGGUAAUGGCUCACCAAGGCUACGAUCUAUAGCUGGUUUGAGAGGAUGAUCAGCCACACUGGGACUGAGAUACGGCCCAG
rnacentral:rRNA from 1 species